UUUAGUAUUUUUACUCUUUGUUUCUUUCUUACUAUAUAGCCUAUCUUUGGUCUCUGUAAGUUUAAAAAACGCCGGGGAUGCAAACUUUUUUAAAAUUGUUAUUUUCCUACUCAAGUUAACAUAGUUCUAAUUUUUUUUUUGUAAGCCCAUUGAUAUGUCGUAUGAAAAGUUUCCUACAAGGAGAUUGCGCCUUGGUAACUCAGUUUCUUCUCUCCAUAUUACAUACUCUUCACAUCAGCGUGAAAAUUUAAAAAAGAAAACCACUAUUAGAGAUGAAUUGCAAAACAGAGCAAAAGCGAUUCAAGAGAAUGUUUCCUUUAGUAAAGAAAACGCUUCUGAAUUGGAUGAAAAUUUUCUUUUAAAUCUUCAAAGAGAUUACGCAGAAUAUCUUUCUUUAAACGAAGAACUUAAAGACGACAGAAUCGCUUUUAAAUUUGGUAUAGAAGAUUUAAAAGACGAUAUAGGAGAAGUAGAAACUAAGCUUCAGCGCAUAAGAUUACAAUCAAAAGCUACAGACAAGUCUCUAAGAGAACUACAAACUCGACUGCUAAUUCUAAAUUCUGAAAAUGAACUUCUUCUUCACGAAAUUGCUAGUGAGUUAGAUAAAGAAAAAAGUAACCGCGAAAAUUCUAUAAAGGAGCUGCAAUUACUUCUAAAGGACAAUGAAAAAGAAAUUGAGUUCCAAGAAAACACAAUUAUUAAGUUGAAAUCGGAAAUUGACGCCGUUAAAAAAGAGAAAAUAGCGCAUAAGCAAAACAUUAUCAAAAAUCAAGAGCGGGAGCUUCAAACACGCCUCGAUGAAUUAACCCGUUUAGUGGAACAGUUUUCUUCUGAAGCCAAUGAAAAAGAAACUUUGAGGAUAAACCUUAUAAAAAAGAAGCAACAACUGGAAGAUACUAUAUUUUCACUUCAAAGAGAAAUUCUAGCGAAGACAAUGAUUCUUAAUCUUCAUAGAAGCGAACGGUGGACGAUGUAGAAAUCAAACUAGCAGAUCAGAAAUAUAUACUGGAAAAAAAAAAAGAUGAGCUGAAAAAAGUCUUUGCAGAAAAUGAACGCUUAAAAGAUUAUAAAUAAUGGAAGCAGUUUAUAAAAAUUUAAAAAAAAAAUUACAUUUGGGGGA